rnacentral:rRNA from 1 species
CCUACGGGUGGCAGCAGUGAGGAAUAUUGGUCAAUGGGCGGGAGCCUGAACCAGCCAAGUCGCGUGAGGGAAGACGGUCCUAUGGAUUGUAAACCUCUUUAGGCGGGGAGCAAUGCCGGGCACGCGUGCCCGGAAGGAGAGUACCCGCAGAAUAAGCAUCGGCUAACUCCGUGCCAGCAGCCGCGGUAAUACGGAGGAUGCGAGCGUUAUCCGUAUUGAUUGGGUUAAAGGGGUGCGUAGGCGGAGUUUAUAGUCAGCGGUAAAAUGUCCGGGCUCAACCCGGGCCGGCCGUUGAAACUGGGGAUCUUGAGUGGGCGAGAAGUAUGCGGAAUGCGGGGUGUAGCGGUGAAAUGCAUAGAUAUCACGCAGAACUCCGAUUGCGAAGGCAGCAUACCGGCGCCCGACUGACGCUGAGGCACGAAAGCGUGGGGAUCGAACAGGAUUAGAUACCCGAGUAGUC